CUGGAGGCCUAUUUUUCUUCUCAAGCUGUACCAACAUCCCCAGCAGGAAUCCUGGUCUUUUCAGGAGCAGAUGGGUAUGGAGAUUCAAAUCCAAGUUCUCAGGCUACUGCUGACUUUCAACUCCAUGUUUCCUGUGCUUUGAAUUUUUUGAGCAAGUGAGAGAGACCUGAGUCUGGUGCUGCCUCCUCCUAGUGGAAUCAGAACGCGACACGCCUCAAGAGAGGCCCAGAUGAGCUCCUGGAUUCUUUGCCAGUUCGUCAGACUUUCAGCAUUUUGUGGUCAGUUAUACAUGGAGAGAGAGGCAAGAGAGUUCACUAUUCUCAUAUAGAUCUUUAAGAAAAAGGAAGAAAAUAGUCACCAUCUGUUCAGCCCUCACUCAGUGAAAGAUACUUCGCUAAGUGCUUUUAUCUCUUCUAGUUCGUUUAAUACUCACGACAGCUCUACGAAUAUUUCCACCUUACUUUAUAUUUGAGAAAACUGAGGCUCAGUGAAGUUAAGUGAAUUCCCCAGGAUCACACAUAUGUCCUGGUGGAAUCUGGAUUUAAUGCAGAAUCCCAU
rnacentral:lncRNA from 1 species